rnacentral:rRNA from 1 species
UACGUAGGGGGCUAGCGUUGUCCGGAAUCAUUGGGCGUAAAGCGCGUGUAGGCGGUCCGGUAAGUCCGCUGUGAAAGUCGGGGGCUCAACCCUCGAAUGCCGGUGGAUACUGUCGGGCUAGAGUGCGGAAGAGGCGAGUGGAAUUCCCGGUGUAGCGGUGAAAUGCGCAGAUAUCGGGAGGAACACCAAUGGCGAAGGCAGCUCGCUGGGACGUGACUGACGCUGAGACGCGAAAGCCAGGGGAGCGAACGGG